ensembl:lncRNA
GUUGAGGCUGGAGUUAGAGAGGUGGAGUCUGGAUGCUGAGUCUGGGUCUUUAGAGAGGUGGAGUCUGGAUGCUGAGUCUGGGUCUUUAGAGAGGUGGAGUCUGGAUGCUGAGUCUGGGUCUUUAGUGAGGUGGAGUCUGGAUGCUGAGUCUGGGUCUUUAGAGAGGUGGAGUCUGGAUGCUGAGUCUGGGUCUUUAGUGAGGUGGAGUCUGGAUGCUGAGUCUGGGUCUUUAGAGAGGUGGAGUCUGGAUGCUGAGUCUGGGUCUUUAGAGAGGUGGAGUCUGGAUGCUGAGUCUGGGGUUAGAGAGGUGGAGUCUGGAUGCUGAGUCUGGGUCUUUAGAGAGGUGGAGUCUGGAUGCUGAGUCUGGGUCUUUAGAGAGUGGAGUCUGGAUGCUGAGUCUGGGUCUUUAGUGAGGUGGAGUCUGGAUGCUGAGUCUGGGUCUUUAGUGAGGUGGAGUCUGGAUGCUGAGUCUGGGUCUUUAGUGAGGUGGAGUCUGGAUGCUGAGUCUGGGUCUUUAGAGAGGUUGAGUCUGGAUGCUGAGUCUGGGUCUUUACAGAGGUGGAGUCUGGAUGCUGAGAACUGGGUCUUUAGUGAGGUGGAGUCUGGAUGCUGAGUCUGGGUCUUUUUGUAACUCCUUGAGUAGAUGUUGUUCAGUUCGCCUUGUUGAGGCUGGAGUUAGAGAGGUGGAGUCUGGAUGCUGAGUCUGGGUCUUUAGUGAGGUGGAGUCUGGAUGCUGAGUCUGGGUCUUUAGUGAGGUGGAGUCUGGAUGCUGAGUCUGGGUCUUUAGUGAGGUGGAGUCUGGAUGCUGAGUCUGGGUCUUUAGUGAGGUGGAGUCUGGAUGCUGAGUCUGGGUCUUUAGAGAGGUUGAGUCUGGAUGCUGAGUCUGGGUCUUUAGUGAGGUGGAGUCUGGAUGCUGAGUCUGGGUCUUUAGAGAGGUGGAGUCUGGAUGCUGAGUCUGGGUCUUUAGUGAGGUGGAAUCUGGAUGCUGAGUCUGGGUCUUUAGUGAGGUGGAGUCUGGAUGCUGAGUCUGGGUCUUUAGAGAGGUGGAGUCUGGAUGCUGAGUCUGGGUCUUUAGAGAGGUGGAGUCUGGAUGCUGA